ACAACUUCACACUAAAUCUCCUGCAGGAGCAUGUUGCCAGUUGCAGAGAUAAAACCUCAAUGAAACACAAUUAGUUUCCACUUGGAUUAGCCAAACUCGCGUCUCUCCUCCCAGCCAGACACCCCGGCAGCGGGAUGGGGACGGCUCGGUGGCAGCCCCCUGUGUCCCCAGCCCUGCUGGGACCGGGACGGCUCUGCCCGGGGGGAGGAUAACUCUCUUUUCACGGCUAAGGGGAGCUGACAAGUGAUGAAUACACGGAGCGCUGCAGGGCAGCCCCUGCCAUCUCACCGAGGACGGCGGCUCAUCACGGCUGGUUUGCUGCGGUUCUCUGAGACACGGUGUCUCUUCUGUACAUGAGCUGGCCUGAGCUGAAGAAUUCCACGCUCCUACAGCAGCGUCAUGGAAAACACCACUUGCCACAGCACAGAACGAGGUGGGUUGCGAAGUUUUGCAGAGACUGAGACAGCAAAGCCAUGGGGAUCUGCUGUUCCUUGGCUUCAGGAUCCUAAUUCUGGCUCUGUUCUCCUACACCUUCGAUUACAGUUCCUAUAACGCAGCUGAACAACCUGCUGUGCAACCUUCCUCCACAGGGAUUCAUGGGCAUAUUUUGAAAGCCUCUUUGCUCCAAGCCCCCACAAAAAAAAAAA